UCAUAUAAACCUCAUCUGAUAACUCUCC
rnacentral:sRNA from 1 species